GGUGAGGUGGUCGAGUGGUUAGGCAGCGGCCUGCAAAGCCGUGUACGCGGGUUCGAAUCCCGUCCUCACCUC
rnacentral:tRNA from 5 species